rnacentral:rRNA from 1 species
GAGUUUGAUCAUGGCUCAGGAUGAACGCUGGCGGCGUGCUUAACACAUGCAAGUCGAACGAACCUUCGGGUUAGUGGCGGACGGGUGAGUAACGCGUGAGAAUCUGCCCUCAGGAGGGGGAUAACGGUUGGAAACGACCGCUAAUACCCCAUAUGCCGAGAGGUGAAAUGAAUUUCGCCUGAGGAUGAGCUCGCGUCUGAUUAGUUAGUUGGUGGGGUAAUGGCCUACCAAGACAUCGAUCAGUAGCUGGUCUGAGAGGAUGAUCAGCCACACUGGGACUGAGACACGGCCCAGACUCCUACGGGAGGCAGCAGUGGGGAAUUUUCCGCAAUGGGCGAAAGCCUGACGGAGCAACGCCGCGUGAGGGAUGAAGGCCUCUGGGCUGUAAACCUCUUUUAUCAAGGAAGAAGAUCUGACGGUACUUGAUGAAUAAGCCACGGCUAAUUCCGUGCCAGCAGCCGCGGUAAUACGGGAGUGGCAAGCGUUAUCCGGAAUUAUUGGGCGUAAAGCGUCCGCAGGCGGUCUGUCAAGUCUGCUGUUAAAGCGUGGAGCUUAACUCCAUUUCGGCAGUGGAAACUGACAGACUAGAGUGUGGUAGGGGCAGAGGGAAUUCCCGGUGUAGCGGUGAAAUGCGUAGAUAUCGGGAAGAACACCAGUGGCGAAGGCGCUCUGCUGGGCCAUAACUGACGCUCAUGGACGAAAGCCAGGGGAGCGAAAGGGAUUAGAUACCCCUGUAGUCCUGGCCGUAAACGAUGAACACUAGGUGUCGGGGGAAUCGACCCCCUCGGUGUCGUAGCCAACGCGUUAAGUGUUCCGCCUGGGGAGUACGCACGCAAGUGUGAAACUCAAAGGAAUUGACGGGGGCCCGCACAAGCGGUGGAGUAUGUGGUUUAAUUCGAUGCAACGCGAAGAACCUUACCAGGGUUUGACAUCCUGCGAAUCUCUUGGAAACGAGAGAGUGCCUUCGGGAACGCAGUGACAGGUGGUGCAUGGCUGUCGUCAGCUCGUGUCGUGAGAUGUUGGGUUAAGUCCCGCAACGAGCGCAACCCACGUCGUUAGUUGCCAGCAUUUAGUUGGGCACUCUAGCGAGACCGCCGGUGAUAAACCGGAGGAAGGUGUGGAUGACGUCAAGUCAUCAUGCCCCUUACAUCCUGGGCUACACACGUACUACAAUGCUACGGACAAAGGGCAGCAAACUCGCGAGAGCUAGCAAAUCCCAUAAACCGUGGCUCAGUUCAGAUCGUAGGCUGCAACUCGCCUACGUGAAGGAGGAAUCGCUAGUAAUCGCAGGUCAGCAUACUGCGGUGAAUACGU